CGCCCGGGGGCGGGGCGGGGCGUGACGACACUUCCUGGGCCACCGCCCGGGCCGCGCCGCGGCGAGGCGGCGGCGGCGGUUGUUGUCGCGCUGCCACCCGCGGCGGGCGGUUCGCGGCUUCCGCAGCCUAAUGCUGUGGGUAGCGGUGCAGGUGCGCUGCUGGGGGAUCGCUCUUACUAAAGUGAGGGUUUGAUUUGGUUGAGCUCAGGAAUAUACAUACAUACAUAUAUAUAUAUAAAAUAUAUUUUUAUAUAUAUAUAUAUGUAUAUUUAAGACUGUAUAGUGUUUAAUCAGCAUGGGUUAAGAGCCGAACUAUGUAUUUGUAUGUGUAUGUGCCCAAAUCCAGCAACAGUGCAGUUUGUGUACUUUGGCACGCUGCCAACUGUACAUUGACCAACUGCCCAUCUAAGCAUGAAUGUAUGCUUCUGCGAAAUCCGUCCUUGCGUUUCGCGGAGGCAAACUCUGAUUAACAGCAAGCAGGAGUGUUGGCUGCAUAAAGACUGAAUGCUACUAAGAAAAAUCCAAAAUGCGGGGUGCAGCAAGUUCCUCCGGGCGCACUCAGACCCAGCUGGGUCUGUACACGGCCUCUGGAUCCUCCUGCUCUGCAGUCACAUGAGGACUCGCUGGGAGUGGACCCAGACAAGCCAGGGACAGCAUCCUAGAGGACUUCACACAGGACACAUUCUCCUUCGCCCAGGUGCUCCAGGAGAGCAGGGAUCCCGGUGCCAGAGCAGCCCCAAAGGCUGGUGACUGCGGUGCUCUCCUUGGAGCACAACAUGUCUGUCCUCCUCAGGCAAAAGCAAUGGAGCUGAAGGGCCAGCUCUGGGAACCCCAGCUGAGCUGCAUCCCUCUGGCAAAGGACGGAGAAACCCUUAAUCUGCACAUCCUGCUCAGCUCUAGGAGACAGAGGGCAAGCGCUCAGCGUUGUGAAGACCAGAGUCUUUCUGGGCAUGCUCUGAAGCCACGUUUUGGGGCUCCGGAAAACCAUACUGCCAAAAACUGAUGUGUCUAUGGUUUUCAGUUGCCCUUGGGAUUAGGAGUUUCGCUCAUCACAGCUGUAGAUUUCAAUGUCUGAAUCCUUUUAUGGUUCUAGUAGCAGCUACCAUAGGACUUGGAUAAAGGGAUAAGAAGCCUUAAUCUGUCACUGAGAUACGGCACUUGAAAAGAAGUCCUCUGCAACCUUUGGUAUGUAACAUAAUGGUAAAGAGACUGUAUUGCUAUCUGCAUCAUGACCUAUCAUGCACACGUAUCAUGCCUUAAUAAAGCUCAUUUUAAAAAUGA